UCCAGACUCCUACGGGAGGCAGCAGUGAGGAAUAUUGGUCAAUGGCCGAGAGGCUGAACCAGCCAAGUCGCGUGAGGGAAGACGGCCCUACGGGUUGUAAACCUCUUUUGUCGGGGAGCAAAGCGAGUCACGUGUGACUCAUUGAGAGUACCCGAAGAAAAAGCAUCGGCUAACUCCGUGCCAGCAGCCGCGGUAAUACGGAGGAUGCGAGCGUUAUCCGGAUUUAUUGGGUUUAAAGGGUGCGUAGGCGGAUUUGUAAGUCAGCGGUAAAAAUGCGGUGCUCAACGCCGUAUCGCCGUUGAAACUGCAGGUCUUGAGUGAGCGAGAAGUAUGCGGAAUGCGUGGUGUAGCGGUGAAAUGCAUAGAUAUCACGCAGAACUCCGAUUGCGAAGGCAGCAUACCGGCGCCCAACUGACGCUGAAGCGCGAAAGCGUGGGUAUCGAACAGGAUUAGAUACCCUUGUAUUC
rnacentral:rRNA from 1 species